rnacentral:rRNA from 1 species
UACGUAGGCAGCGAGCGUUGUUCGGAGUUACUGGGCGUAAAGGGUGUGUAGGCGGUUUUCUAAGGUUGGUGUGAAAUCUCCCGGCUCAACCGGGAGGGUGCGCCGAAAACUGGGAGACUAGAGUGCGGGAUGGGAGAGUAGAAUUCCUGGUGUAGCGGUGAAAUGCGUAGAUAUCAGGAGGAAUACCGGUGGUGUAGACGGCUCUCUGGACCGCAACUGACGCUGAGACACGAAAGCGUGGGUAGCAAACAGG